CCUACGGGAGGCAGCAGUUUGGAAUUUUGGACAAUGGGCGAAAGCCUGAUCCAGCGACGCCGCGUGGACGAUGAAGGCCUUCGGGUCGUAAAGUCCUUUUAGCAGGGAAGAAUUUUUGACGGUACCUGCAGAAUAAGAGGUUGCUAACUCUGUGCCAGCAGCAGCGGUAAUACAGAGACCUCGAGCGUUAUCCGGAAUCAUUGGGCGUAAAGCGUACCGAUCGGUGGUUUUACAAGUCAGAGGUGAAAUUCCAAGGCUCAACCUUGGGACUGUCCUUUGAAACUGUAAGACUAGAGGGACAAAGAGGAAGCUAGAACUAACGGUGUAGGGGUAAUAUCCGUUGAUAUCGUUAGGAAUACCGAUAGCGAAGGCAGGCUUCUGGGUGUCACCUGACACUGCUAGGACGAAAGCGUGGGGAGCAAAAAGGAUUAGAUACCCUUGUAGUCCACGCUGUAAACGAUGCAUAUUAGGUGCUGGGGAGUAUCGACCCUCUUCAGUGCCAUAGCUACGUACGUUAAUAAUAGCCGCCGUCGGGUAGGUACGGCCGGCGAACGACGUAAACUAACAAUAGAAGUUAGACGGCGUGAGACGUAGCCGACGGACGACGACGAGGGAGGUAGG
rnacentral:rRNA from 1 species